GUCAACACCCCUGCCUAAAGGCUAUUGGCUCUCUAGCCUCAGUUUUUAGGAUUAGUUGACCCGACGCGCGUACCUCGUGUACUACGUUAUUGGCAAGUGUUCAAGUUCUCACUCCGGGAUACGUGAUGCCAGUCUCGGACUCUGAAACCGGACGAUUAAACAGGUUUAUUGGGUUAAGCCAGUGUCGUUUGGAAAGUACCGACCAAUAACAUCGUCCAGGCUCACAUUAC
rfam:Scytonema millei VB511283 scaffold_62, whole genome shotgun sequence.